UAAAAUGGUUAAUUGUAUAUUAUGUGAACUUCACCUCAAUUAAAAAUAAAUAAGAGGACCAGCCAAGUCUUCUGAGCUCUAGGCGGCUCCUCUAGGCUGGGAAAGCACCUGGAUUAAUCUGGUAGGUUAAGCAUCCAGCAGGAAGACAAUGCAAGUCAGACAUGCCAUGUUGGAUUCUCCAGGGGCUCACAUUUUAAAAAGUAAAACGAGGGGCGCCUGGGUGGCUCAGUCGGUUGAGCAUCCGACUUCAGCUCAGGUCACGAUCUCACAGUUCGUGAGUUCGAGCCCUGCGUCGGGCUCUGGGCUGACGGCUCAGAGCCUGGAGCCUGCUUCCGAUCCUGUGUCUCCCUCUCUCUCUGCCCCUCCCCCAUUCAUGCUCUGUCUCUCUCUGUCUCAAAAAUAAAUAAACAUUAAAAAAAAUUUUUUUUAAAUAAACAAAAAUAAAAAUAAAAAGUGAAACGAAACAAAUGUUGUUUUAAUGCUAUAGUUUCUUGAACCCAGGACAGCCCAAACAUUAUCAUUUUGACGUGUAUUCAACAUAAAUGUUACUAAUAAGAUCUCUCCUCCGUAUUAAGUCUUUAAAAUACAGGUGUAUUUUGUGGCGCCUGGGUGACUCAGUCGGUUAAGCGUCCGACUCCUGAUCUUGGCUCAGGUCGUGAUCUCGGUUCGUGAGUUUGAGCCCCACAUUGGACUCCACACUGUCAGUGCGGAGUCUGCUUGGAUUUGCUCUCUCCUCCCCUGCUCACAUGCGCUUUUUCUCUCACAAAAUAAAUUUAAAAAAAGAAAGAAAAAGAGAGAAAGAAAGAAGAAAGAAAUACAGGUGUAUUUCAGCACACAGAACAUCUAAAUGCAGUCAGCCACGUUCCAGAAAGAAAGAAAAAGAAAAGAAAGAAAAGGAAAGGAAAGAAAGAAGAAAGAAAUACAGGUGUAUUUCAGCACACAGAACAUCUAAGUGCAGUCAGCCACGUUCCAGAACUCCAUAGCCACUCGUGGCUCAAGCUCAGCCCCACUGGAUGGUGCAGCUGUUGGGUGUGUCACUGGAGUCUCAGGACAUAAUCUUGCAAAGUAUGAGCGGUUCAAAUUUAGUGGGUGUUGAAUCUAUGAAUUAAAAAAUAAAUCGGCUCUAAUCCUAUUUAGGAUGCAUCUGAACAAUCGCCUUAGAAAUAAGCCCCAAGUUAAACAUACAAUUACAGCAAUUCCGUACCUGGGUACACACCCAACACAAGCGAGAACGAGAACUGGAACAGAUACUCGUGCACGAAGCAGCGUUAUUCACAAUAGCGAAAAGGUGAAAACAGCCUCUGAGGCCCGUGGAUGAAUGAAUGAAUGGAAAAGCAAAAUGUGGUGUGUACAUACAAUAGGGUACUAUUCAGCCUUAAAAAGGAAGGAAAUUCUGGGGCGCCUGACUGUCUCAGUCAGGGGAGCGUGCGACUCUUGAUCUUGGAGUCAGAGUCGUGGGUUUGAGCCCCAUGUUGGGGGUAGAGUUUACUUGGGGGAUAAAAAAAAAAAAAGCAAGGAAAUUCUGACUCCUGCUACAACGCGCACGAACCUUGAGGACAUUAUAGCAAGUGAUAUAAGCCCAUCACCAAAGGACAAAUACAGUAGGGUUCACUCAUAGGCAGCACCUGGAGCCGGAGUAGCCAAGUUCAUAGCGACGGAAAGUCGAAUGAGGGCUCUCUCUCUGCCCCUCCCCCACCCAUGCUCUGUCUCUCUCGGUCUCGAAAAUAAAUAAAAACAUUAAAAAACAAAAAGAAACACUGUAAUAAAAGUGAUGGAGGACCACUCCAGGAUCCACGAGAAAUACUUUCUUUAAAAGAGCAUUCAUGCAUUGCCUGGGUUUGAAGUCAGGCUGCGAUUUGCUUUCUAGGUUUGUGUCCCUUGAGCCACGGUCAUCUCUGCACCCCCAUGGCGCCAGCACCCAGGGCCAGUCUCAGAACAGUUUCCUGAGUGAGUGAGUGGUGCAGGCGUAGAGGAAGAAGGAAUUCGUGGGCAGGAGGAGGUGAGGAGCAGGAGAAUCAGGGAAGGCUUCCAGGAGGAGGGGGUCGAGGGUAUGGAGUUUGAAGAGUGGAAGAUGGGGUGCGGAUGGGCGUACCUCAGGGCUAAGCACCAAACCCUCGCCCAGAGGAUGUUGAGGGGGAUGAGACAAGGCGCCAGCUCUGCCCAGCGGUGAUGUCACGCCUGGGACCCAGCCUGACCCCAGCUGCCGGGGGUGGUCUGUCAAGGGGCCAGCCUUCCCCAUCAAACACCCCACUGAGCAGUCUGCCCCGUCACCCUCCUCCUCCCCGACACCCACCCACCCACCCACCCGGGGCCGUAUCAGUUCCUCCUCCAGCCCCACCUCCCCUGGCCGGGCCACCAUCACCUCUCCCGGCAUCACCACACCUCUGACUGGCCUCAGGCUGCCCUCCCCCACAGCCACUUAUUCACUUAGUAAAUAGCAUUGCGUGCCUGAUUAGGAUCCCACAGAUGAGGAACAAAGCUUUGGCCCUGCCCAGUGGGGAGAAAGACAAUAAACAAGGAAAUGGUGAGUGUAUCAUAUGAUGGCAAGCAGCAAGGGCCAGGAGGAAAACAAAAGAAAUCGCCAGGAGGGGUCCUUAUGACACCUCUGGGCCCUCAGGACGGGCUCAAAGUGAUGGGAGAGAACACUGCAGAGAUCGGCGAGGCCCAGAAUCCCCCUGGGCGGCUGGAACGGGGCAGCCCAGGGCGGGAGAAGUCAAUGUCAUCCUGGCCCCAUUUAGAAGCAGCCUUUAUGCUGGUUCCAGAGCGGGAGACCCAGAAUCUCAUAGUUGUUUACAAACACAAAGGUGAUGAUAAGACGAUGUGGUCAGCUCUGAAAACUCGGCUGUUCGAGACAGCACUCUGGUCAAGAGUGUCGGUCCCGAUCGGUUGGCCUUGCCUCUCAUGGCAAUAAACUUUGUUGUGACUGUCACAAUGCCCGCAGCAUUGUUUCAGGAGUCGGGUGGAUGCAACAGUCUGUCAUGUUGCUGUGAUCCUAAGACUUGAGAAACAAGACUUCAUGACUGGAAGUGUAUCAGUUAUCUAAUGCCAUGUAACAAACACACCCCAGGCAUCGUGGCCCCGAGGAACCAGCAGUAUGGGUUUGCUCAUGAUUCUGCAGUCUGGGCGGGGCUCGGCAGGGACCCCUCAUCCCUACUGCAUGCGUCGUCAUAUGGGGUGCCCGACCAGCCUCCCUCACGUGUCUGGGGCUGCAGUGGGGGUGGCUCAGCGACCAGGGACGGGCUGGGCCUCUCUCCUCCCUUCAUGGUUUCUAGGACUCCUCCCUCCAUGCAAGCCUUUCUCUAAUGGGGCCACCCUGUUUCCUUACACGGCCUCUGGCUUCAAAGUUGGAGAAAAUGGAUGCUGUAAAGCCUCUUAAGGCCUAGGCCUGAAACCUCUCAGUCACUUCCAAGUAUCCUAGUGAUCAGAGUCGCGCACAGGCCACCCAGACCCUGGGGAGGCGAGAUUGUGGACUGUGCGGCCGAGCCACAGCGACGGGAGGAGUUGUUGGCAGUCGUUCGGGCAGCCAUUUUUCCACCCAAGGAUCCUGCCCUCAGAGCGGGCCACUGCCUGCCGACAGACUCCUGUGUCACAAGAGCGGGAGAGUGUUGAUGGUGACCCAUGGGAAUGCGGAGGAGGGAGGGCCCAGGACGUUCCGCAGUGGGACAGGAAGGCCUCUCUCCUCAGACUUCUGGGUCUUUCCCUCCCUGGGCCCAGCUGCCCUGCUCCCAGCCCCCAAGGGGUAAGGAGGCUGAGCCCUGGUAAGGAAUGAGGCCCGGCCUGCUCAUCCUGUUGGUGACAAUCCUCUAAGGACCCUGCCUCUGCUUUCCAGGGAACAAAUGCUGUGGCCCUUGCCCUCCACCUGCCCUGCCCUGCCCUGCCCUGCCCUGCCCUGGUCCUCCCACCCCAGCCUCACAAGUUCUGAAAAAAUGUUGGUGGGGAGGAGACCAUGCAAAUCCUUCCCCACCCUCCGCCCUCCGAAGACCUCAGGAACUUCCCAGUGGCCACCCAGCCCAGGCUCUGGAGUUCAACCCUUGUCCUGCCACUCUUCAGCUGUGUGAUCUUGGAAAGGUUUACUUACCUCUCUGUGCCUCAGUUUCCUCAUCUGAAAAAAAGGAGAAAAGAGAAGGGCAACUGUGACCACUCUGUGCAGGCGCGUUCUAAGCACUUUGCAGCUAGCAGCUCCUAUAAUCCUGCCAACAACAAGGGCCAGGGUGUGUGUGUGUGUGUGUGUGUGUGUGUGUGCGCGUGCGCGCGUGUGUGCAUGUGUCUGUUGUUCAUUUCACUUUUACAGCUAAGGACAUGAAGGCACAGAAAGGUCAAGUAACUUGCCUGAGGUCACACAGUUCAUCAUCACUCCAGAGCCCAUGCUCUAUCCAACCCCCCGGCGCCUGCUCCCCACCUCCUAAUUCCUUUUUUUUUUUUUUUAAUCAUUACAGUAAAAUAUGCCUACCAGAAACUUGACCGUGUACGGUGCAACUUUCACCGCCAUCCCUCUCCCGGACCGUUCGUCUUCCCCAACUGGAACCACGCCCGUUCAACAAUCAUCUCCCAUCUCCCGGCAAUCACCACUCUUUGUGUCUCUAUGAACUUGACUCUGCCAGAGACCUCGUGUAAGUGGGAUGAAUCAUACCGCAUUUGGUCCUUUCGUGACUGGCUUAUUUCACUCUGUAUAAUGUCUUCAAGGUUCACCCAUGUAGGAGCACAUGUCAGUAUUUCCUUUCUUUUUAAGGCUGAAUGGUAUUCUGAAGUAUGUACGGACCGUUCAUCCAUCAGUGGACCCUUGGGCUGCUUCUGCCUUUUGGGUAUUGUGGAUACUGACGCUAUGAACACGGGGGCAUAAAUAUUUGUUCCAAAACCCUGCUUUCAGGGGCACCUGGGUGGCCCCGUCGGUUAAGUGACGGACUCUUGGUUUCUGCUCAGGUCGUGAUGUCACAGUUCGUGGGAUUGAAGCCCCGCAUCGGGCUCAGCGCUGGCUGCAAGGAGCCUGCUUGGGAUUCUCUCUCUCUCUCCCUCUCUCUCUGCCCUUCCCGGGCUCAUGU